rnacentral:rRNA from 1 species
GCUGGCGACCAUAGCAAGAGUGAACCACCUGAUCCCUUCCCGAACUCAGAAGUGAAACCUCUUAGCGCUGAUGUUAGUGUGGGGUUACCCAUGUGAGAGUAAGUCAUCGCCAGCU